rnacentral:rRNA from 1 species
GUCGAGAAUCUUUCACAAUGGGGGCAACCCUGAUGGAGCGACGCCGCGUGGAGGAUAAGGUCUUCGGAUUGUAAACUCCUGUCAUGCGUGAACAAGGUUGCUUGGUUAAUACCUGGGCAAAUUGAUGGUAACGCAAGAGGAAGAGACGGCUAACUCUGUGCCAGCAGCCGCGGUAAUACAGAGGUCUCAAGCGUUGUUCGGAAUCACUGGGCGUAAAGGGUGCGUAGGUGGCGUGGUAAGUCAGAUGUGAAAGCCCGGGGCUCAACCUCGGAACUGCAUCCGAUACUGCCAUGCUAGAGUACUGGAGAGGUGACUAGAAUUCUCGGUGUAGCAGUGAAAUGCGUAGAUAUCGAGAGGAAUACCAAAGGCGUAGGCAGGUCACUGGACAGUUACUGACACUGAGGCACGAAGGCCAGGGGAGCGAACGGGAUUAGAUACCCGGUAGUCC